rfam:Gossypium raimondii Chr08_contig_1300, whole genome shotgun sequence.
UGUUAAAAAAUUUAUCCACUUUUAUUUUAAAAAUUGACGUGACUAAUAGAAUAAUCAAAUAAUUUUACGUGGCGUGCUAGGUGUACCUAUUCUAACGUAUGAAAACUGGUUUUUAAUAGCAGAAAUUAAUGGAAUUUUAAAUA